GACGGAGGAUGCAAGUGUUAUCCGGAAUCACUGGGCGUAAAGCGUCUGUAGGUGGUUUAAAAAGUCUACUGUUAAAGCUUGAAGCUUAACUUCAAAAAUGCCGUAGAAACUUUUAAACUUGAGUAUGGUAGGGGUAGAGGGAAUUUCCAGUGGAGCGGUGAAAUGCGUAGAUCUUGGAAAGAACACCAACGGCGAAAGCACUCUGCUGGGCCGACACUGACACUGAGAGACGAAAGCUAGGGGAGCGAAUGGG
rnacentral:rRNA from 1 species